rnacentral:rRNA from 1 species
UGCUGUGAGCUCGAUGAGUAGGGCGGGACACGUGGUAUCCUGUCUGAAUAUGGGGGGACCAUCCUCCAAGGCUAAAUACUCCUGACUGACCGAUAGUGAACCAGUACCGUGAGGGAAAGGCGAAAAGAACCCCGGCGAGGGGAGUGAAAAAGAACCUGAAACCGUGUACGUACAAGCAGUGGGAGCACCCUUUGGGGUGUGACUGCGUACCUUUUGUAUAAUGGGUCAGCGACUUAUAUUCUGUAGCAAGGUUAACCGAAUAGGGGAGCCGGAGGGAAACCGAGUCUUAAUUGGGCGUUAAGUUGCAGGGUAUAGACCCGAAACCCGGUGAUCUAGCCAUGGGCAGGUUGAAGGUUGGGUAACACUAACUGGAGGACCGAACCGACUAAUGUUGAAAAAUUAGCGGAUGACCUGUGGCUGGGGGUGAAAGGCCAAUCAAACCGGGAGAUAGCUGGUUCUCCCCGAAAGCUAUUUAGGUAGCGCCUCGUGAAUUCAUCUCCGGGGGUAGAGCACUGUUUCGGCUAGGGGGCCAUCCCGGCUUACCAACCCGAUGCAAACUGCGAAUACCGGAGAAUGUUAUCACGGGAGACACACGGCGGGUGCUAACGUCCGUCGUGAAGAGGGAAACAACCCAGACCGCCAGCUAAGGUCCCAAAGUCAUGGUUAAGUGGGAAACGAUGUGGGAAGGCCCAGACAGCCAGGAUGUUGGCUUAGAAGCAGCCAUCAUUUAAAGAAAGCGUAAUAGCUCACUGGUCGAGUCGGCCUGCGCGGAAGAUGUAACGGGGCUAAACCAUGCACCGAAGCUGCGGCAGCGACGCUGAUGCGUUGUUGGGUAGGGGAGCGUUCUGUAAGCCUGUGAAGGUGGCCUGUGAGGGUUGCUGGAGGUAUCAGAAGUGCGAAUGCUGACAUAAGUAACGAUAAAGCGGGUGAAAAGCCCGCUCGCCGGAAGACCAAGGGUUCCUGUCCAACGUUAAUCGGGGCAGGGUGAGUCGACCCCUAAGGCGAGGCCGAAAGGCGUAGUCGAUGGGAAACGGGUUAAUAUUCCCGUACUUGGUGUUACUGCGAAGGGGGGACGGAGAAGGCUAUGUUGGCCGGGCGACGGUUGUCCCGGUUUAAGCGUGUAGGCUGGUUUUCCAGGCAAAUCCGGAAAAUCAAGGCUGAGGCGUGACGACGAGGCACUACGGUGCUGAAGCAACAAAUGCCCUGCUUCCAGGAAAAGCCUCUAAGCAUCAGGUAACAUCAAAUCGUACCCCAAACCGACACAGGUGGUCAGGUAGAGAAUACCAAGGCGCUUGA